GCUGCCUCAUAGACUAGUGCCUACUAUCAUCAUGCAUUUCAAUCUUGUAUUGGCUUCUGCUGUUCUCGUGUGUGUAUGUGUUGUCUCAGGUUUUACCCCACUCCGCUGCCAUUCUUGCUACGCUACGAGCGAGGAGAACCCUAAAGGCGUUGAUGACUGUCGUCACCUUACUAGUAAAGUUAAGGAAACUAGCGAAUGUUACGUAGGUUUAGAGGGAAUAUGCAUAUUUUAUGUUGGGAGUUACACAGGAAAAAACAACAAGACCGAAAAUGUAGUGGGGAGAUAUUGUGAUUAUAAAAAUUGCGACAACUUAAAGAAAUAUGGUUACGCAAACACACACUGUCAGGAAUGCAGAACCGGCUUUUGCAACACUGCCAAAUAUUGAUCAAUAGAACCAAGCCUCUAUAAGGAUUGUGCUGCAUACUACUAUUAUUAUUAACAUUAAUUGUUCUUUAAUAUUUUUGUUCUUUUUUCUUUGACAUUGCCCUCUGAACUACAAAAUGAUAUAAUUAUGUUAUAAUAUACGUAUUUACAGCAACAACC